ACAGAGGAGGAAAGCGUUGUUCGGAAUCACUGGGCUUAAAGCGCGUGUAGGUGGCCGAGUAAGUGUUGUGUGAAACCCCGCGGCUCAACCGCGGAACGGCACGGCAAACUGCUCGACUUAAGGUCGGUAGAGGUGCCUGGAACUCUAGGUGGGGCAGGGAAGUACGUAGAGAGCUAGAGGAUGGUGGAGGGCGACAGCAUGACACUGGGUAGAGGCUUUGGUAGAGAGGGUAUGAUGUGUGGAGUGAGCAA
rnacentral:rRNA from 1 species